UUCUGGCCUUCUUUCGAAUAUAAGCCAAUUAAUUGCUCUAGUUGGCAGGUGCUACUUGAGAAUGCGGAAAACGAAUAUUCUGUCACCUGAUUCCAUCACCGAUGUCCCUCUGCGCUUUUUCAGGCUCCGACGGAGGGGGAUGACUGCAUGCACGGCAACGCCUGUGCUCACAUUCUUGCUUCAACUCAUAGGGAAGCAUAAUUAUUUUCUAUGGGGUUCUAC